GACGAACGCUGGCGGCGUGCUUAACACAUGCAAGUGGAGCGACGAACCAGGGCUUGCCCUGGGGCAGAGCCGCGAACGGGUGAGUAACACGUGGGUAACGUACCCCGAUGACUGGGACAACCCGGGGAAACCCGGGCUAAUACCGGAUGUCCACCCUCACAUCAGUGAGGUGUGUAAAGGAAGCUUCGGCCUCCGCGUUGGGAUCGGCCCGCGGCGCAUUAGCUUGUUGGUGAGGUAACGGCNCACCAAGGCCGCGAUGCGUAGCUGGUCUGAGAGGACGAUCAGCCACACUGGGACUGAGACACGGCCCAGACUCCUACGGGAGGCAGCAGUGGGGAAUUGUUCGCAAUGGGCGCAAGCCUGACGACGCAACGCCGCGUGGAGGAUGAAGACCU
rnacentral:rRNA from 1 species